UAGACCGCUGCGCCACUCGAGAGCUUAACAGACCUCACUUUAAAGUAAUUUGCCUUGUUGCAAAAGUUGACCCAUCACUUUAGAGUGGAUUGCAGUCAAGAAGAUUCAGUUGAAACUUAGACCGCUGCGCCACUCGGGAGCCCAAAGGGUGCAUAGCCGACAAGGUGCGAUCUGCUAGAAUCCAGGGGGGAAUCCUAUGAAGCAAGCUAGAUCUACUCAGGGUUUUCUAAAGCUAAUCAGCUUCAAUUAGCUUCGCAUUGCAUAGGCUUCGUCCGUACUAUGACGGUGGAUAUUGCUCGUCCGUCUGCUGCUAACUCUAGCAGGCUUGUAACUACGCGUUCAUGUAGCACAUGGUUAGUCGGACGAUAAAACUCUUCAGUGACUUAAUACUGAAACGUCAAUAUAUGGGCGAGUAAGUGCCACAUUUUCAUUUGUGCUGAAAUCAAAAUUAAAUAAUAUUUUUCUUGCAAAUUCAGCAAGCUAUGGCGUGAAAUAGAAUGUUCGAACUGCCUUCUGUAUUUUAUUAUUGUUAAUGCCGACUUUGGUUUGCUUUGGUGUGCUUAUCAAUGCACAAACACCUUUCCCACCACUCUGGUCGAUAAAAUAAUUGUAUUAAGUCAUACAAAAGUGUUACUGUGCGUGAAGUUUAAAAUGCGUUCUGUCAUUACUAAAUGGGUAAUGUGAUAUAUUUUAACAUUUUUUAUUUUUUAACACAGACAUUUUAAUAAAAUAUUUAAUCAGUUGUCUUCCUCAAAUGAAGGAGGGAAUCUGAUUUCAUUGGUCCUCAACUCGUGGCUCAGUCAUUUCAUUCAGGGUUAUCAGUGGUGUACGGGAGGCCCUGAAGAGCCCGACCUCAGUCGAAUACCUCUCUAUUCUGAUGUAGCAGCUGUCACUUCAGGUCCUACAGAGCCUAGUCAAGCUACUCACAACCAUAGCCAUCCAGUAGCCUCUACUAUAUACUACUUUCUUUACUGUUACAGCCACAUCUUUACAUGUUUCCUAUCAGAACGGCAAGAGCUGGAGGUAAUCGCGCUUCUGAUAUCAUUGAUUUACUUUUAUUUGAAAUCACUAUUGGAGAACCUUGCCUUGCCUUUUUGUAUUACUUUGGUUUGGUUGAUUUUUCAGUUUUAUUGAUACAGCUAUUGAGAAUUGAGAGAAAUUACUUUUCAUCUUCUCUCGGGAUAUGGACAGUACUUGUUGAGGCUUUAGUGCUCUGAAAUGAAGACUGUAAUUUCCAAGAAGAUUGUGCAGACGUACUGUAUCAUCGAAUAGGCUUGUUAUUACACAGGUGCAUAGUUUACAGCUUCAUGGCGGAAAUGUAUAGUCGUAUUAUGCCUCUCCUAAUUUUCAAACAAACACUGAUAUACUGAAUCUGAUGAUACUGUAAAUGUCUAAAUCAAAUCUUCAAAGUUACAAGCCUCCCAAUGUUUAACCCCAUGCUUCUAUACAACCAAAUAAAUCACACUCAGGUUUUCCACUGUGUAUAAAAAUGUCAUGUGAUCGACUAUAUUGCCAUACUGGAAGAGGAUGGUGCAAUAAAUGUGUCGCUGUUUAUCCCAGCUUCCUUCACAGGAA